CAGGAUCAGUCUCAGGCCAUGAACCUGGCAACCCUACUCCUUAGGGAGGCACACCUGGUGCUAUCACUGCCUGUGUUUAGGCACCAGCACAUUCAACACACAUGAAGAACUAUUUUGCCGUGGACACCGUCUAUGUUGGCAAAAAGCUGGGGUUGCUCCUGUUCCCCUUCCUGCACCAGGACUGGCAGGUGCAGUACCAGCAGGACACGCCAGUGGCAUCAUACUUUGAUGUCAACACAUUGAUGGAUUGAGAUCGUCAGACCUCCGUCGCGUCCACAACGGACCCACAGUGAA